AGUAAUAGUGAUUUAUUGAAACAAGUUUAGAUAUGAAUUGAAAUUAAGUUACUUGCUACAAUUAGGAAUAAGUUUAAUAAUGGGUGAAAUUAAGUCAUAAGUAAAUCUGUUGAUGAAACUUUUGGGAUCUCGAAGUUCUUGUCAUGCAGUUCUUGUCAUGGAUCUGGGUUAUUUUUUCCCCUUGUUCUUUCAAAUUCUUCAUGACUUUACUUGUUUUUAUAUGACAGUUCUUGCUUGAUUAAGUUUAUACUGUUAUUGAGUUCAAGUUGUUUUGAUGGAUUUGAUUAUUGUUGCUGGUGCGCACUAUCAUUUUU
rnacentral:misc_RNA from 1 species